GGUUAAGUGACUAAGCGUACACGGUGGAUGCCUGGGCAGUCAGAGGCGAUGAAGGACGUACUAACUUGCGAUAAGCGCAGAUAAGGCAGUAAGAGCCGUUUGAGUCUGCGAUUUCCGAAUGGGGAAACCCAACUGCAUAAGCAGUUACUGUUAACUGAAUACAUAGGUUAACAGAGCAAACCGGGGGAACUGAAACAUCUAAGUACCCCGAGGAGAAGAAAUCAACCGAGAUUCCGGUAGUAGCGGCGAGCGAACCUGGAUUAGCCCUUAAGCACUCGGUGAAGUAGGUGAACAAGCUGGAAAGCUUGGCGAUACAGGGUGAUAGCCCCGUAACCGACGCUUCAUCGAGCGUGAAAUCGAGUAGGGCGGGACACGUGAUAUCCUGUCUGAAUAUGGGGGGACCAUCCUCCAAGGCUAAAUACUCCUGACUGACCGAUAGUGAACCAGUACCGUGAGGGAAAGGCGAAAAGAACCCCUGUGAGGGGAGUGAAAUAGAACCUGAAACCGUGUACGUACAAGCAGUAGGAGCACCUUCGUGGUGUGACUGCGUACCUUUUGUAUAAUGGGUCAGCGACUUAUAUUCAGUGGCAAGGUUAACCGUAUAGGGGAGCCGUAGCGAAAGCGAGUCUUAACUGGGCGCUCAGUCUCUGGAUAUAGACCCGAAACCGGGUGAUCUAGCCAUGGGCAGGUUGAAGGUUGAGUAACAUCAACUGGAGGACCGAACCGACUAAUGUUGAAAAAUUAGCGGAUGACUUGUGGCUAGGGGUGAAAGGCCAAUCAAACUCGGAGAUAGCUGGUUCUCCCCGAAAGCUAUUUAGGUAGCGCCUCGGACGAAUACUACUGGGGGUAGAGCACUGUUAAGGCUAGGGGGUCAUCCCGACUUACCAACCCUUUGCAAACUCCGAAUACCAGUAAGUACUAUCCGGGAGACACACGGCGGGUGCUAACGUCCGUCGUGGAGAGGGAAACAACCCAGACCGCCAGCUAAGGUCCCAAAGUAUUGCUAAGUGGGAAACGAUGUGGGAAGGCUCAGACAGCUAGGAUGUUGGCUUAGAAGCAGCCAUCAUUUAAAGAAAGCGUAAUAGCUCACUAGUCGAGUCGGCCUGCGCGGAAGAUGUAACGGGGCUAAGCAAUACACCGAAGCUGCGGCAAUAUCUUUUAGAUAUUGGGUAGGGGAGCG
rnacentral:rRNA from 1 species